AAUUUAAAGGUAAUAUUUGUUCAAAACUUUUAUUUGAAAAAAUUUUUUUCAUUUUUUGAUUCGAAAAUAUUAAAUCUUGUUGAAAUAAAUAAAUAAAUUCUAAUUUUUUAAAUUG